rnacentral:rRNA from 1 species
ACUCAAAGGAAUUGACGGGGGCCCGCACAAGCGGUGGAGCAUGUGGUUUAAUUCGACGCAACGCGAAGAACCUUACCAAGGCUUGACAUGGAUAUGAAGUAUUUAGAGAUAGGUACGUCUUUCGGGACAUAUCACACAGGUGGUGCAUGGUUGUCGUCAGCUCGUGUCGUGAGAUGUUGGGUUAAGUCCCGCAACGAGCGCAACCCCUAUGUUUAGUAGCCAGCAAGUAAUGUUGGGCACACUAGAGAGACUGCCGUGGAUAACACGGAGGAAGGUGGGGACGACGUCAAAUCAUCAUGCCCCUUAUGUCUUGGGCUACACACGUGCUACAAUGGGUGAAACAAAGUGAAGCAAGAUGGCGACAUGGAGCGAAUCACGAAACACACCCUCAGUUCGGAUUGUACUCUGCAACUCGAGUGCAUGAAGUUGGAAUCGCUAGUAAUCGCGAAUCAGCAUGUCGCGGUGAAUACGUUCCCGGGCCUUGUACACACCGCCCGU